GAACGCUGGCGGCGCGCCUAACACAUGCAAGUCGAACGGAGUUUAUCCGACUGAAGUUUUCGGAUGGAAGAUGGAUAAACUUAGUGGCGGACGGGUGAGUAACGCGUGAGCAACCUGCCUUUCAGAGGGGGAUAACAUUUGGAAACAGAUGCUAAUACCGCAUAAGAUUACAGUACCGCAUGAUACAGUGAUCAAAGGAGCAAUCCGCUGAAAGAUGGGCUCGCGUCCGAUUAGAUAGUUGGUGAGGUAACGGCUCACCAAGUCGACGAUCGGUAGCCGGACUGAGAGGUUGAACGGCCACAUUGGGACUGAGACACGGCCCAGACUCCUACGGGAGGCAGCAGUGGGGAAUAUUGCACAAUGGGCGAAAGCCUGAUGCAGCAACGCCGCGUGAGGGAAGACGGUUUUCGGAUUGUAAACCUCUGUUUUCGGUGACGAACAAAUGACGGUAACCGAGUAGGAAGCCACGGCUAACUACGUG
rnacentral:rRNA from 1 species